rnacentral:lncRNA from 1 species
CUUUGCUGACUCAUUUUUCGAACUCAGCCCGCCUGCACCCAGGUGAUUAAAAAGUUUUAUUGAUCACACAAAGCCUGGUUGGUGGUCUCUUCACAAGGACGCCUGCGACACCUGCCUCAAAAAAAAGAAAAAGAAAAAGAAAGUUGAUCAAAGAUUUGAAAGAGUUGCACUGUCCUAAAAACACAGGCUGGAUCCAAAGACUGUGACAGCCUGAGACUCAAAGUAGCCCUUGGGCUCCCCACGUCUCUACAGGCAAGAAGGGAGCUGAGGAAGCCACUCGGCUCUCCAGCACCCACGCUGGUGGGGCCACAGAGGACCGUGGGGAUGGGAGGUGUCCCCUCCACCGACCACAGCCCACAUCUCUUCCAGGAAAUUGCUCCCCGGGGUUGGGGUCCUCCCCCAGCCACCCGAUGGGACUUUGGAGCCACUGCAGAGCCUGACUGCUGGGGUCUGCCUUCUUCCCCUUCCAAACCAGACCCUGGAAGCCCCUGUCCCUGCUCCUUGGUUGAAUACCGGGGGCGUGGGCAGCAAACCCUUCAUCUUUUUAACUCAGAGCCCUCCAGCUUGGGAUGGAUGCGGCAACUUGUGUACGUUUGACCUUCAUGUAGCUGGAGGACGCCGGGAUGGUUGCCUUGGAGGAAGCGGGUGUGCUUUGCUUGCAGGAAGGGCAGGCUUCCAAGUACCUCGCAGGUGCCUGGAUGUGGUGUGCCUCAGUGUUGUUCACCAGAUACCUUCGGCUCCCCUCUGGGCAGACGGCAGGGCUGAGUCUUCCCGUGGAGCUCCUUCUUUCGCCUCAGUGGCCAUGGAGACGCCUGUCGAGGAGACUGUCUCAACUAAGAACCUACGAAGGAAAGAAAGACGUUGUCUCCUCUCCCCCCCGGCAGUGGGCACGCAGCGUGGCCGAGCGAGUUCCUGUGAUGGUGGCCUUAGGACCCACACUGUUCAGCUGCCCGUGUUCACGUCCUGGACUUGCCACACCUGGAUUUCCCGGCACCCUUUGGCAAACUUCCCACAUCCCUUGGUUCUCUCACUCCCUUCCUGAUGGCAUUAUCUAGAUCGUCAGGCUUUGCACAACUGUAUUUCCCUCAUCUUUGCCCUUUGUGUUACCUUUUUAUUGGCAGUGAUUUGUUGCUAAUAACAGAUUUCACAAACCCAUUGUGUCCCCAGACUUCUCCUGUGGCCUGCAGCACUUCCUGGAUUUCUGUUUUUU